CCUUCCUGCGCGCCGUUCCCCGCUAGUCGCUGCUGCUGGCGCGCACUCGCCGGGUUUUUCCUCCCACGGCCUCGAGAUGGUGGUGAAUGUGGCACGGAGGAGCCGGGCCUUCCAACCCGGUGGGCCCGAGCUCCGAAAGGCCCCCUCGGCAGUGAGAGGGGCGGGAGCCCGCGGGGGCCGCGCCCUUCUCUCGCUUCGGACUGCGCAACGCUGCGCUCUGGGCUGACAGGCGGAUAAAACGGUCCCAUCAAGACUGAGAAAAAGCACACCAGCUAUUGGCACAGCGUGGGCAGUGGGGCCUACAGGAUGACUGACUUAGUCUACAGAGAUCCCGGCGUACUUAAGCAGGUAGUAAUGAUGGACAGAUGAAGACUCUUAAGAUGACAGAAGGUGAUUUUUCUGGUGAUCGAGGACUUCCGGGGUAAUGACAGUGAUGAAAUGCAGGGGACCUGGUUGCCCCCAAGUUUCCUGGCAGUGUGUGAUACUGAGGAGAUUCAUGUUACAUGUAAAGCUGUCCUCAUUUGUGACUAUGGACCUAUGGAGUUGGGACAAUCUCUAUGGGAAGCAGAAGGCAAGGACCCCGGUCAUUUUAGGUAGAAACAACAGCAUGCUAAUGCAAAAAAUUAUGCAGUGUGCUACUGAACUUCAGAGGUGAUCAAUAAAAGAAGAAUAAAAAGACUAA
ensembl:lncRNA SNHG12 small nucleolar RNA host gene 12